CAGGUAGAGAAUACCAAGGCGCUUGAGAGAACUCGGGUGAAGGAACUAGGCAAAAUGGUGCCGUAACUUCGGGAGAAGGCACGCUGAUAUGUAGGUGAGGUCCCUCGCGGAUGGAGCUGAAAUCAGUCGAAGAUACCAGCUGGCUGCAACUGUUUAUUAAAAACACAGCACUGUGCAAACACGAAAGUGGACGUAUACGGUGUGACGCC
rnacentral:rRNA from 1 species